rnacentral:tRNA from 1 species
UAAUCGAUCGAAGUAAAGGGUCUUCCUUUGUGGUGAUAAAUUGCCUACUUAACUCAGUG